AAUAUUGGACAAUGGGCGAAAGCCUGAUCCAGCCAUGCCGCGUGAGAGAUGAAGGCCCUAGUGUUGUAAAGCUCUUUCACCUGUGAAGAUAAUGACGGUAACCUGAGAAGAAUCCCCGGCUAACUUCGUACCAGCAUCCGCGGUAAUACGAAGGGGGCUAGCGUUGUUCGGAAUUACUGGGCGUAAAGCGCACGUAGGCAGACAUUUAAGUCAGGGGUGAAAUCCAGGGGCUCAACCCCGGAACUGCCUUUGAUACUGGGUGUCUCGAGUCCGGAAGAGGUGAGUGGAAGUACGAGUGUAGAGGUGAAAUUCGUAGAUAUUCGGAGGAACACCAGUGGCGAAGGCGGCUCACUGGUCCGGUACUGACGCUGAGGUGCGAAAGCGUGGGGAGCAAACAGG
rnacentral:rRNA from 1 species